CCACGUGUUCCUGGAGGGGCCUGCUGGCUAGGCUCCUGCUCAAAGACUAUGGGACAUGUUAAAAGUUGACUUCCAUGGAAAAUCCGAACCACUGAACCAAUCUGAGUGAUUUUUGGAUAUGAUGGUCACUCAGAUCAGGGCUAUCCAUGGAUGUGACUCCUAAAGGGUUUCCAUGGAUUUUGGGGGACUUUUAGGGAUGUUGUAAAAUUGUGUGUUAUUAGGUACCUGGAGAAAAUUGAGUUUGUACAGUUCCUGACUCAAUUAGCUCUCAGGCACAGAGGAGUAGUAUGUUGCUUGUAUGUGCCUCUCCUCCUUUUUCCUGUCCUGUUGUUUCCCCAGCAGGGCAAUGUCCCAGGGACACUGCCAGACUAGUUUAAACUACCAGCUUU